GCUGGCUGUGAAUUAUUGUGAACUGAUGCCAUCCAAAGAAAAAUUGAUCCUGGUUCACUGAUUACAGAACUUACAGUAAUUCAAAGCUAAUGAUUGUAUGUAUAUGGAACUGGCUCAGAAACCUCAGGCUGUUAUUGAGAACAAUGGGAAGACAGUUGUUCCCAAGGUCUAGGAUCAGAGGAGAAUCUGCCUUCCCAACAACAGCCCCCCCCCCGAUGAGUGCCCUUUUUUGCCUUCAUACUAAUCAAAGAUGCAUGAAGUUCAUUCUUUUACACAAUAAAGGAUAUGGGGCUGCAAGCAUGGGAACCAUUCAUGGAAGAGGUAUUGGUGGUCCCUGCGCUAAAUACUACUUUUGUCUUCAAAGUCUAACAUUGGGAGCAAGUACAUCUCAAAAGGUUUCCUGCUUUUCUUGCUUUGAAUAAUUAAUGGGACAUUAAUAAUAAUUAAUGGUAUCAGCUGAUGUCACAGUGGUCCUAUGCAGACAGAAGCCAUAACUCCCUCCCAGGCCACCACUUGAUUGGCUACCCUGAUGCUACAAAGGAGCUAGAAGCCUUGGACCAGGUAGCUGAGUACUACAGCUUACGGAAAUGAUAGAUCUGCAGUUGUCUGGUCUGCCCCAGAGCUUCAAUUUGAAAUAAAAAGUUCAGUCAUUACAACGUGCACGACAGAAGGAUUCAUCAGAUUUGCCUAAUGAAAUAUUCCAGUUCCAGACUGAUCAGCCCCCUUUUCUGCUCAGAACUGAAGCUGAGAAAAGUACCAUGCAUCAUUACUGCAUCAACAAUAUAAAUAUUUUUAAUACUACCAUUUCCUAAUUGCAAUGCAGUGCCCCAGUGCAAGAACUGUGGAAUAUUAAUCUAAGCCUGGCUGUAUUGAUAGUACUUGGCCUCUGCUUUUGUGCCUAAUGUGCUAAGUAAGAAUUAAUACAACACACUUCAUACUCUGUCAUGUCCCAUUGCUUAAUUAAGCAAUCAGAAAUAUUGUGUAGAUGGCUUAAGAAGAUUCAGCUCUGUGGGUUGCAUUAAUGUCACUGGAUUCUUUUAGCCAAAUCCCCUCUUCACAUCUUUAAAUUUGCCCCCCUGCAUACGCACUUGGGUUUGAUAUGAUGGUUACAUGUACUUCUGCUCACUUGAACCUUCUGUCUUUCAGGGCAAUUUUGUGCAGCAUUGUUUUCGGUGACUCAAGUGACUGUAAUCUAAUUCAAGUAAUGCUUUUGUCAUAAUUUCCAUUAUAAAUGCUGCCUUUCAAAAAUUUUAUGACUCAGCUGUGAAAAUGAGCUGUAGGCUGAACUUUCAUUUUACAGUGUAACAUCUCUGCCAGUAUUUGUAGGUCUGUGGCUUCGUAUUUGCCUUAAACAUUACCAGACUUGGUCCACUGCAUAAAUUUAACUGCAUAAGAAAAAUAGAUACAGGAUAAAAUGGUUGACAGUUUUUUUAAAAAAAUAUGAUUGAUUUAAAUAUAUAAAACUACAGCUAAGAAGCCUACAAUGUGUGUACCAGUUAAAUUUUGAAGAAAAAUCUCAUUGUUCUAUUGCAAUAUGAUAACAUCAUGGGAACAUAAUGGGUUGAUAAUCCUGAAAUGUGUAAUAAUUUUUAUCAAAUCAAUUGAUCUGGGUCCUAUGGCCUCACAUACUGCCUUCAAUGCCAUUCCUGGUAAAGUGUUCCAACUUUUACCAAUGUGUUAACAGUAAAGAGAAUAUACAGAUCUUAAUGUUGGAAAAAAUGUCCUCCUGAAAGAUCCGUUUUCCACUUGUGAUUGUGUACAACAGAAAGAUUUUGGACUAAAUAUCAUUAAGAAGUGUGGGAAAAUCAUGGAACAUAUUUCUGCACACAAAAAUUGGCAAUACUCUCGAUUUUGACAGACCAAACAAACAUUUACCUUACAAAAACAUGCUAUUUAUGAUGAUAGCAGCUAUGGAAAGAACAACAUAAAACUGGAAACUACAAGGUAAGCAAUCAAUUGAAAAUUGGUAUAAUAAUGUCUGCAACAUGGCACCAGCAGGAAUGUAAAUGACACAAUUAAGACUAGCUAGCAAACAAUCUCUUGUCAGGUAUACUGGGAUGUUAUACAAAAUGUACCUUUUACAAAAUUAAAACAAGUA